GAGGUUUCUGUUAGGGACCGUCUUUGGGAGUGAUCUGUCUCUGCUCUCUGGGGAGGAUCUUUGUCUGGAGCUUUUGGGGGGCUUGUGUUUGGAAGUUUGCCUUCGGGGAGAUAUCUGUCUGGGACUUCUUAGGGUUUCUGUAUCUGAGCUUUCUCUUUUGUGUCUGUCAGUCCAAGGGCAGCAAAAAGUAUCUCCUUUCUGAAGCCUUUUUUUCGUUAGGUUUCUUCACUCUUUUCUCUCUUGUCUUAUGUUCAUUUUAGCCAUAGACUUGACUGGGGUUUAGAGGGAAUUGAUUGUUAUCCAGAUGAGUCGUACAGGAAAGCAGAUUGUCUUUUUUUGAGACGGAGUCUUGCUCUGUCGCCCAGGUUGGAGUGCAGUGGCAUAUUCUUGGCUCACUGCAAUCUCCGCCUCUUGGGUUCAAUCGAUUCUCCUGCCUCAGCCUCUAAAGUAGCUGGGAUUACAGGCACCCGCCAAGACGCCUGGCUAAUUUUUUAUAUUUUUAGUAGAGACGAGGUUUCACUACGUUGGCCAGUCUGGUCUCGAACUCCUGACUUUGUGAUCCGCCCACCUCGGCCUCCCGAAGUGCUGAGAUUACAGGUGUGAGCCACCGUGCCCUGCCCCAGAUUAUCCUUUUUAUUUGCUCAGUCCCCCCAGGGAGCAGAUGGCUUCAGACAGCCACACAAAAUACUGUUCCUGCUUAAUUCUCCAUGGGGUCAUGGUUAAAGAGAGGAAGCUGGGCUGAGGUGCCUUCACUAAUUGGUCCUCUACAUCUUGCGCACAGAAGGGAACCUGGGCCAGUGGCCAGUGACUUUCCUCUCCCUUUAUGGCAGCAUUUCCAAGCACCUGCCCUGUGACAGAUACUGGCUAGGUACUGGGGAUAACAAGGACGAAUAAAAUAACAGCUUACCGUCCAGUAGUAGACAUAGAGACAUCGGUUUCCUCUGACUAGCAUUGGGAUGGUGCUGAAACCCUGGAACUAUACAUUCAGUUUAGAACUUGGGCUCUCAGUUAUGGACGUUCUGCCUUCUGUUUUUUUGGUUUUUGGUUUUGUCCACCAGAAAACAUCUGCUAGUAACUGCCCUCUGUGUUGAUGCUUUCUUUCCUCACUUCACCCAGCGUGCUUCUGUUCUUCAAGGUUGAAAACUAAGCAUGGGGAAGAGCUGCAAGGUGGUCGUGUGUGGCCAGGCGUCUGUGGGCAAAACUUCAAUCCUGGAGCAGCUUCUGUAUGGGAACCAUGUAGUGGGUGAGUGUUGUUGGAGGGGGAGGAACAGUGGAAGAAGUUGAAAAAUAAGGAAUAGGACUUGAUCACAACACACACAGGCUAAAAGCUGCUCCUGGUGGUUUUUGCCCCUGGAAGAAUAAAACUUACAUUGUAACAGAUCAACUCUACAACACUGAACAAAUCCGGAGGGAGAAAGCUCUAUGUCCAAGAUAGGAAGGGGAAGCUGUCAUGUCACACUUGUGCUUAGCAUGGAAUUAGCAUAAAAUUAAUGUCCAUUGGCCGGGUGUGGUGGAUCAUGCCUGUAAUCCCAGCAUUUUGGGAGGCUGAGGCAGGCAGAUCACCUCAGGUCGGGAGUUCAAGACCAGCCUGACCAACUUAGAGAACCCGUGUCUCUACUAAAAAUACAAAAUUAGCCAGGCAUGGUGGCACAUGCCUGUAAUCCCAGCUAUUCGGGAGGCUGAGGCAGGAGAAGCGCUUGAACCCGGGAGGUGGAGGUUGCGGUGAGCCGAGAUCGCGCCAUUGCACUCCAGCCUGGGCAACAAGAGCAAAACUCCGUCUCAAAAAAAGAAAGAAAUUAAUGUUCGUUCCCCUAAACCCAAAUCAUUUCAGUCCUGCCAGGCUGUCAAUUCUCUGGCCUCCUCAGCCCCCCACAUUCCUUUCUCCCCAUCUGGUCAGCCUUAAGAUGCUCUCAUCACUCACAUUUCCCAUCUCUCUCUCCACUUCAGACAGUUUUCUCAUUUUAUACCAGGUUCGGAGAUGAUCGAGACGCAGGAGGACAUCUACGUGGGCUCCAUUGAGACAGACCGGGGGGUGCGAGAGCAGGUGCGUUUCUAUGACACCCGGGGGCUCCGAGAUGGGGCCGAACUGCCCCGACACUGCUUCUCUUGCACUGAUGGCUACGUCCUGGUCUACAGCACAGAUAGCAGAGAGUCUUUUCAGCGUGUGGAGCUGCUCAAGAAGGAGAUUGACAAAUCCAAGGACAAGAAGGAGGUCACCAUCGUGGUCCUUGGCAACAAGUGUGACUUACAGGAGCAGCGGCGUGUAGACCCAGAUGUGGCUCAGCAUUGGGCCAAGUCAGAGAAGGUGAAGCUGUGGGAGGUGUCAGUGGCGGACCGGCGCUCCCUCCUGGAGCCCUUUGUCUACCUGGCCAGCAAGAUGACACAACCCCAGAGCAAGUCUGCUUUCCCCCUCAGCCGGAAGAACAAGGGCAGCGGCUCCUUGGAUGGCUGAAGAGCUGCCGUUCCUCCUUCACGAUCCCAGCCCCAUUUCAGUGUCUGGGGCUCUGGUAGAUGUGUUGAGGGCAAAGUAGAGGGCAAGCUGUCUUUCCCAGUCAACCAGGGAGCUCCCCGCCAGGCCAGGCCCCAGCCACUUUGCUCCCUCUCACCUCUGGGAAGUGCAAAUACUCUUGGUUGACAUCCCCUUCCUCAGCCCUCCCAGCCUACUCCCCACCCCAGCUUUUAUAGGAUCUGCUCUACUGUCUCCUGGGGCAGUUGUGGGUCACCGUCCCUUCCAGCUGCCCCAGACAGGAAGCAGAGUCACCACGCAGCAGGGUCCCUUCUUGGGUUGAGUUCCUAUUAUAGGUAGGGGCCCCACCCUCUGGGCUUCCCGUCAGCGACACACACACACUUAUGGCACCAGCCUGGACUCCAGAAAAAGGGUGUCCAGGUAUUGUGUGUAUGCAUUUAGUUGUGCACACACAAAUAUGCUCCUAUACUGGCGUUAGGUGUCUCCUCAUCCCUCACCCUGACCUUUCUCCUGUCCUUUUCUUGGCUGGAAGUUAGCCUCCUGGGAGUGUAGUUUUCUGUUUUAAAUCCCCCACCCCUGGUUGGGCUCAGUGGCUCACACCUGUAAUCCCGGCACUUUGGGAGGCCAAGGCGGGUCGAUUACUUGAGGUCAGGAGUUCACAACCAGCCUGGCCAACAUUAUGAAACCCCAUCUCUGCCAAAAAUACAAAAGUUAGCCGGGUGUGGUGGCAGAUGCCUGUAAUCCCAGCUACCCGGGGAGGCUGAGGCAGGAGAAUUGCUUGAACUCAGAAGGCGGAGGCUGCAGUGAGCCGAGAUCGUGCCACUGCACUCCAGCCUGGUCAACAGAGCAAGACUCCAUCUCAAAAAAAAAAAAAAAAAAAAAUUCCCCACCACCCCACCAAUUGUUUUACUUCCUCUUCCUGCUCAGGGAGCAGAUGGGCCUCACUGGUUGAGAUGGAAUAGAAUAACUGGGCCAUGAGUCGCCAGCCCACUUUGUGACCCAGCAAGACCUUUCCCCUCUCUGGGUGUCAGUUUCUCAUCUGUAAGAUGACCAGAGUUGCUUAGAUGAUCUCCUAGAUCCUUUCCAUUUCUCUUGAUUUUGUAAAGCCAAUGGCUUCUCCCUCUUUUAAGGUGCUAUGCCGACCAGCCCGGGAGGCUGGGAUCUGCUGCUCCCUCCAGCCACCAGGGGGCAGGAGUGCACUACCUGCUGUCAGUCACCAGAGUGGCCGCUCUGUGCCCAGCCCGCCAGCCUCGCCCUUGGAGGCUGCUCUUUAUCCUGCCUGUGGUUUUCAGCUCAGAGCUGGACUUCUAUUUAUAAGUUACCUGUAUUUAUAUUUAUAUGCCCGCUGUCAUGGUGAAGGCUGGACAAGGUGCUCCUCUGGCCUCUCCUUCUUACCUCAGAUGCCUGAACAGAACAAGGCAAACCCGUAGCAGCCUCUCAGGAGCUGACAGGUCCUCUUUCGGGGCUCAGGAGGGUGGGCACACACCCAGCGGCCUGCAGAGUAAGCUUAUUACCCACAACUGUGCCCGCUUUGUGCUUCUAAGGUGCACACCUAGCCUAGGUGAGACACUGCAGCCAGGCAACCACCAACACAUGCCCCUUCUCAAAGCCAGAGGUGAGUGGGGCAGGUGCCCGGGGCUGGGUGAGUGGAAUUAGGACACACACAGGCUUGGGCUUCAAGUUCAUUUAUUGAUGCAUUGAUUGGACACAAUAAAACCACAACUGUUAUCAAAAAA
rnacentral:sRNA from 1 species